ACAGCUACCUCAUCAUGUCAACUAACCUGGAUGAAGAAGGACCAGAAAUCUUUCAACCACAACCUGGUCCGGCAUAGUGAAGCUAUCUUGCACUUUGGAAUACUAGAUAGCACUUUAAUAUGACACUUGGGGGAAUCUUAAAUAGCAAAGUCAUCAACAAAGAGCACAAAAUGCAGAAACCAUGGCUACAAACAAAUAACCUGUUUACAGUAUAACAACUGAAGCAAGAAGGCAGAGUGUCAUCUUGUUUGAUCUUAGCUGAUACUGUUUUCCUCCUCCCUUGCCCCUUCCCUGGCAUGACAAAAAGAGAAGAAGAAGAAGAAGGAGAAGGAGAAGGAGAAGGAGAAGGAGAAGGAGAAGGAGAAGAAAAGCUUGUAAUUUAUGUAAAUUAUGCUUUCACUUUUUCCUUUUCCUUGUGAAUACUUUCCUUAG